rnacentral:rRNA from 1 species
AACGAACGCUGGCGGCAUGCCUAACACAUGCAAGUCGAACGAGACCUUCGGGUCUAGUGGCGCACGGGUGCGUAACGCGUGGGAACCUGCCCUUAGGUUCGGAAUAACUCCCCGAAAGGGGGCCUAAUCCCGGUUAUGGUCUUCGGACCAAAGAUUUAUCGCCUUUGGUGGGGCCCGCGUUGGUUUAGCUGGUGGGUAGGGUAAAACCCGCCCAAGGGGACGAUCCAGAGCUGGUUUGAGAGGAUGAUCAGCCACACUGGGACUGAGACACGGCCCAGACUCCUACGGGAGGCAGCAGUGGGGAAUAUUGGACAAUGGGCGAAAGCCUGAUCCAGCAAUGCCGCGUGAGUGAUGAAGGCCUUAGGGUUGUAAAGCUCUUUUACCCGGGAUGAUAAUGACAGUACCGGGAGAAUAAGCUCCGGCUAACUCCGUG